CGUAGGGUGCGAGCGUUAAUCGGGAAUUACUGGGGCGUAAAGGGUGCGCAGGCGGUUGAGUAAGACAGAUGUGAAAAUCCCCGAGCUUAACUCGGGAAUGGCAUAUGUGACUGCUCGACUAGAGUGUGUCAGAGGGAGGUGGAAUUCCACGUGUAGCAGUGAAAUGCGUAGAUAUGUGGAAGAACACCGAUGGCGAAGGCAGCCUCCUGGGGACAUAACUGACGCUCAGGCACGAAAGCGUGGGAGCAAACAGGAUU
rnacentral:rRNA from 1 species